GACGAACGCUGGCGGCGUGCUUAACACAUGCGAGUCGAACGGAAAGGCCUGCUUUCCCUUGUGGAUUGCGGGUACUCGAGUGGCGAACGGGUGAGUAACACGUGAGUGGUCUGCCCCCAACUUGGGUAUAAGCCUGGGAAACUGGGUCUAAUUCCCGAUAGGACUGCAGGGUGGUGCCUGUGGUGGAAAACGAUUUUCUAGUGGUUGGGGAUGAGCUCGCGGCCUAUCAGCUUGUUGGUGGGGUAAUGGCCUACCAAGGCGGCGACGGGUAGCCGGCCUGAGAGGGUGGACGGCCACAUUGGGACUGAGAUACGGCCCAGACUCCUACGGGAGGCAGCAGUGGGGAAUAUUGCACAAUGGGCGGAAGCCUGAUGCAGCGACGCCGCGUGGGGGAUGACGGCCUUCGGGUUGUAAACUCCUUUCGACCGCGAGGAAGCCACCUGGUUGGAAGGGUGGUGACGGUAGUGGUAGAAGAAGCACCGGCUAACUACGUG
rnacentral:rRNA from 1 species